UACGUAGGGUGCGAGCGUUAAUCGGAAUUACUGGGCGUAAAGCGUGCGCAGGCGGUUAGCCAAGUCAGGUGUGAAAUCCCCGGGCUUAACCUGGGAAUUGCGCUUGAAACUAGCGGGCUUGAGUGUGGCAGAGGGGGGUGGAAUUCCACGUGUAGCAGUGAAAUGCGUAGAGAUGUGGAGGAACACCGAUGGCGAAGGCAGCCCCCUGGGUCAACACUGACGCUCAUGCACGAAAGCGUGGGGAGCAAACAGG
rnacentral:rRNA from 1 species